rnacentral:rRNA from 1 species
AGAACGAACGCUGGCGGCAUGCCUAACACAUGCAAGUCGAACGAGACCUUCGGGUCUAGUGGCGCACGGGUGCGUAACGCGUGGGAAUCUGCCCUUGGGUUCGGGAUAACAGUUGGAAACGACUGCUAAUACCGGAUGAUGACUUCGGUCCAAAGAUUUAUCGCCCAGGGAUGAGCCCGCGUAGGAUUAGCUAGUUGGUGAGGUAAAGGCUCACCGAAGGCGACGAUCCUUAGCUGGUCUGAGAGGAUGAUCAGCCACACUGGGACUGAGACACGGCCCAGACCCCUACGGGAGGCAGCAGUGGGGAAUAUUGGACAAGUGGGGACGAAAGCCUAGAGUCCAAGGCCAAAGUCGCCGCGUGAGUGAAGU